UACGUAGGGUGCAAGCGUUGUCCGGAAUUAUUGGGCGUAAAGAGCUCGUAGGCGGUCCAUCACGUCGGGAGUGAAAAGCUGGGGCUUAACCCCAGUCCUGCUUCCGAUACGGGUGGACUAGAGGUAGGCAGGGGAGAACGGAAUUCCGUGGUGUAGCGGUGAAAUGCGUAGAGAUCAGGAAGAACACCGGUGGCGAAAGCGCUCUGCUAGGCCGCAACUGACACUGAGGGACGAAAGCUAGGGGAGCGAAUGGG
rnacentral:rRNA from 1 species